AUACGGAGGAUCCGAGCGUUAUCCGGAUUUAUUGGGUUUAAAGGGUGCGCAGGCGGCCAUUUAAGUCAGCGGUUAAAUCGCGGGGCUCAACCCCAUUCUGCCGUUGAUACUGGGUUGCUUGAUUGCGGUCGAGGCUGGCGGGAUUCUUUGUGUAGCGGGGAAAUGCAUAGAUAUGACGAAGAAACCCGAUUGCGUAGGCUGCCGACCAGACCGUAAAGUGCGCGCAUGCACGUAAGGGCGGGGAUCGAGCAGGAUUAGAUUCGCUGGUAGUCCGCACAGUAAACGAUGAAUACUGGUUUUCGGCGAUAUAAUGUCGGAGGCAAAGCGAAAGCGAUAAGUAUUCCACCUGGGGAGUACGCCGGCAACGGUGAAACUCAAAUGAAUUGACGGGG
rnacentral:rRNA from 1 species